GUGUCAGCAGCCGCGGUAAUACGUAGGGUCCAAGCGUUAUCCGGAAUCACUGGGCGUAAAGCGUGCGUAGGUGGUUUGUUAAGUGAAAUGUUAAAUCGUGUGGCUCAACCAUAUCGAUGCAUCUCAUACUGGCAGACUAGAGGACAGCAGAGGCAAGUGGAAUUUGUAGUGUAGCAGUGAAAUGCGUAGAUAUUACAAGGAACACCAAUGGCGAAGGCAGCUUGCUGGGCUACUCCUGACACUGAGGUACGAAAGCGUGGGGAGCGAACAGGAUUAGAUACCCCUGUAGUCC
rnacentral:rRNA from 1 species